rnacentral:rRNA from 1 species
AUUGAACGCUGGCGGCAGGCCUAACACAUGCAAGUCGAGCGAGCGCCGGACAGGGGAGUGAAGUCUGGGAAACUGCCUGAGAGGGGGGGAUAACUACUGGAAACGGUAGCUAAUACCGCAUACCCUAACAGGUGCGCAGAGGGGAUAAGCGAGUAGGUGGGGUAACGGCGCACCUAGGCGACGAUCCCUAGCUGGUCUGAGAGGAUGACCAGCCACACUGGAACUGAGACACGGUCCAGACUCCUACGGGAGGCAGCAGUGGGGAAGAUUGCACAAGGGGCGCAAGCCUGAUGCAGCCAUGCCGCGUGUGUGAAGAAGGCCUUCGGGUUGUAAAGCACUUUCAGCGGGGAGGCGUUACCCGCAGAAGAAGCACCGGCUAACUCCGUGCCAGCAGCCGCGGUAAUUC